UCAAGUCUUGCAGAGUCAUUCAGAGUUUA
rnacentral:sRNA from 1 species